ACGCUCGACACCUACGGGAGGCAGCAGUGGGGAAUAUUGCACAAUGGGGGAAACCCUGAUGCAGCGACGCCGCGUGGAGGAAGAAGGUCUUCGGAUUGUAAACUCCUGUUGUUGGGGAAAAAGAGGAUGGUACCCAACAAGGAAGUGACGGCUAACUACGUGCUAACAGCCGCGGUAAUCUGAGCGGGCUGGCAAGGC
rnacentral:rRNA from 1 species